CGCGGGGAGGUGCGAUGGCGGACCGCGAGGGGAGGGGCGCUUCACGCCGGAGCCGGUAGCAAUUAUGAGUACACAGAAAGGACAGCUUUCGUGACUCUCAGAUGUAGAGCCUGCAACACACGAGCCACGUAUGAUACCAGAUGACUUCUAAGCCUCCUUAAUGGCUGGGUAAGGCUCACGCCCCUUGCUGAAGUCAGCUACUAUGAAGUCUGUUUCCACUUUAUAGGUUUCAGAUAUGCUUCUAGAUACAGCCUCCAGCUUCGCUUUGUUUCGGCUGAUUAAGAUGAUG